AAGGAUCACCUGCUUCUGGACUGACCAGGAGUAACUGAAACAGUGGAAGGUGAAACCUCAGAUAAGGGGACUACUGUACUGUCAAGCAGGCUGAAGAGGUUCUCACAGCUUUUACUGCUUUAAAAGUGGAUUGAGAAUAGUCACUUCAUUCAGGGAGGACGGAACACACGUGACAAUUAACAGCAUUAACCUCUACAGCAUUGGUCUGCAUUUCUGUUCAAAAAUUGACGCCUUCAAAAUGUUGAACCAAUCUGCUAGUAAUUUUAGAGGAAAGAAGCACGUGCUUAUUACAAAAAGAAAGUCUGUGGGUUCUUACAGAAGGCAUUAAAAUUGUUUCCAUCACAUGAUAUCAAAACAUAAGCAGAUUUGGAGACAACCCAGAAUGAUCACCUGGUGUUGAAGAUGAGGAAACCGAAGCCCAGGGGGACCCACACUAUGGAGAAGGUCACAGUAAAUCUGGAAAGAGUCACAUGAAGCUCAUCGUUCUGAACAUCCCAAUUCUACUUGUCAAGGAUGCCUGGAAAGAGACACUGAAGAGAACAGCACAGAAUAUGGAAACCCUGGAGAAGGGAGAACAACUUCAUUGCUAAGAUCAAAAUCAUCCUCGUUUUGAUAUAACCACCAUAAACUAGAAAAAAAAAGGGGGGUUUCAUCUAUACAAGAACUAAUCCUUGGGAAGUAAAUGUCAGUCCUCUGCGAGGACUGGUGGUUGCUUUUCUCUGCCCUUUGAUGUCAGCUUUCUGGGGCGAGGUGGCAGGACCCACAGUGAUGUCCGUUCAGACCACACAUUCCAACCCAGCCCAAGUCACAUGACUGGCGUGUUAGUGAGGUCAGUUUAGAUUAUUCUGGUUUUUGCGUAGCUGGGCAUCAGGUCCCUUGGUGGGGCUGCUUAAAUUGCUCCACCCCUGCAAAAUGCUGAAUGCCGUAUGAGGGGACCACCUGAUUGUCCAGCUCUGCUUCCCCAUGGGCAAAGAGCUGUAUGAAACACAUGCGGACCCUUAUCAGUGUUCCAAACUCUGCAAGGCUUGAAGUUGGUUUUCAAGCCACAGUUCACACAGAUUUAGUAAAAGCAGCCUACAUAGCUGUCCUUCUCUGAAAUCUUUGUUCUAACUUUUUCCAAAUGUGUUUAACUAAUUUUGAACUCUAGACUCAAAUCUCAAUACUCUCCAAUCCACUGCAUCUGUUUUCAAGAUACUGAGGCGCAUUUACAGAAAAUAUCGUCAUCCUUCAUGGGUUGAUUAGAUGAGUGAUGAGAUACUAAGUUCCCUUGGUUAACUGCCAUUCUCCAUGUUCUACUUUUCAACUGGUUCCCACCCACAGGCACUUUCUUCCCUAUCUAUUUCUCUUGUUCUUUCCUGUUCACUCUCCCCAUUUCCUCCUACUUGUGGUCACUGACUCCCAUUAUUAUUCUCUUCAUUCUGAGAUAAUAUAUGAGAAAACACUCUGUAAAUCCUAAAAUUCUAUACCAAAGUCAGACAUCAAUAUUAUAAUUAUAACUCAUCAUUUUACAAUCUGGUUUUGUGCGUGGGUAUGUGUGUACAGUGUGGGUGUAUUCAUGUGUGCAUGAGAGGAAAGCUCACCUGUCAUGAUUGGUCCUACAUCCUGGAGUGAGGUCUCCAUUACCCUUUCCUGACCAGAGAGGGCCUCUACCUACGUAGAGAGGCAAGCUCCAGAUAGAUCUAACUAAUUAGAAGUUUCAGAUGUGAGAUCUUUUGAAAAUACACAACAGUAGACAGCCUGUCCUAGUUAAUCUAAGAAGCAGAGAAAAUUUGCUUGUACUCUCCCAUUUGCCUAUCUGCUGACAUUUAUUUCUCCACCCAAGUAUCGCACUGAUCUCUGCUGUUCUCCAGCAAGUCCAAAUCUUCCCUGUUGGUUAAUGACCCCAGUAGCACACUAAGCAACUUUGAUGCUGUCAAAUUACCCUUUCUCCAAACUCACACUCCCCUGCAUUUAGACUACAGAAGGAAAAUAUCCCAUUAAUCUGGUCCACAUGGGAGAGUGACAAAAUAAUAACAACAUCCAUAUGGGCAAUUUUAUGUUUAAUAAUUUGAUAAUUGAUACAGAGGAAUGAUGGUUGAAAAGGUCCCUAGAAAAAUUUUUGGAAAAUAAUACUUUCUAGAGAUCCCUCAAAUUUAGAGGUGGCUCUUUGCUGUGACAUGCAUGAAGCAAUCUCCAACCUGAAAAAAGCAAAAUAGUGAAAUGGGGUGAUAAAUACCCUUUAAAAACCAGACAGAGUACUGGUCAACUGCUGUGGUGGUAAGAGGUGAUGCAUGGCAGCUGUCAGAGCUGCUUGAAGGCAUCCAUUAAAGCUUGGCAUCAAUUACUUUUAAUAUUGAUUAGACUAUUUCUACCAGGGAUAUUUACUCACAGAAGACAUUAAUCUAGAGCCAUUCAACUUUUUUUUUAAGUUGAUUUCUUUUUUUUUCUAGAAAGAAAUCUAAGUUGCCCCGUAGUCUAUUUGAAUGUAAGAAUAGAGACCAUAAAAAUAUAUUCACUAAGUGGACUAAAACUAUUUUUUAAAGCAAUUUAGCCUUUGGUCAUAAAAGAGAAAGAGAGCGAGGCAGACAGGCAAGACGCCAGGAGGCAAAGAUACAGGAAGGGAAAGAUACAGCAUCAAAGAAAAAGAAAAAUGAGCCCCAAAGAAACAGCAACAAAGAAAAAUACACCAAGGAGACAACGCAAACAUAUUCAAAACACACACAAGAGAAGGAGAGAAAGACAAGAAAGGCUACGCACAUAUACCCAAUGUCCCUAUGUACAGAAGACAGAUUGAAGAGCACAGAAAACAAGAACACGCACAUGAAGAGACCCUCUAGUGGCUUUGAUUUUGUCCCACCUGGCUAGGUUGAGCUAUGUUUCCCAGAUUUGCCUUCCCUGUAUCUUUCCAAUGAUGGUGAGCCACAGAGAGACUCAGAUUUGGAGGAUGGAAGUCAAGCAGCAUUCAUUGUUAUAAGUCACACAAAUCUUCACUUGUCCUCUGGCUCACCUCUUGGUAUGAGACAGAGUUCAGGCCUGCAACUGCUCCACCUUCUGCUGAAUUCUUCUUCUGCUUUUCCAACUCAUGUGUGUACAUGUGUAUGUGUGUGUGUGUGUGUUUGUGUGUGUGUGUAUUAAUACUGCAUCAGGUUAAAAAUUGGCAAUUUUAAGCAGAUGGAUUAAGUCAGAUAAAUACCAUGAUGAAGGGCCCCAGCUUCUGCAGGAAAUCCAUGCCAUCAAGGUGAAAAGCAAUAAAACUGAUGAUUGUGGGUUCCAGCAUGCUCCUACUCUCCUCCACUUUAUAUGCAUCUUCCCUUAUCCUUGUGGACUUCAAGCUUUAGCAUCAGACACAAGGACAGCAGCCUCACAGUGCCUGUUAAUUAGCUCCCAUGAUUGCAUAAAGUCAAACCCCUGUAAU